rnacentral:rRNA from 1 species
AUGUUUUUGCUGAACAAAACGGAGUCUCUACCGAGGAUAUCCUCAGAACGAAUGACAUUAAAAAGAGUUGGAGGAAAUUUGAAAAAAAAGACUGCUAUGUGGCAGAGAUCAAGAGACCGGAAAAUACUAGAAGGUGAUAGAAACACUGCCUAUUUUCAUGCAGUGGCUAACCAGCGUAGACGGAAAAACCACUUGUCUGUACUAGAGGGCCCUGAUGGCCCGGUCCACUCCACAAAAGAUAUGUUAGAGGUUGCUACCAACUUUUAUAAGGAUCUCUUUGGUUUUGAACCAAAACCUAAUAUCCACCUGGGUGAUCAUUUUUGGUUUGUAGAAGAACUUGUUACAGAUGCUGAGAAUGACAUUCUUGAAAAACCCUUUACACAGGAUGAAAUUAAAGAAGCCAUUAUGGGUUCCUAUGCCAAUGGUGCCUCUGGCCCUGAUGGCUUGUCCUUUCUUUUUUAUCAAACCUUCUGGGAGGUGAUAAAAAUGAUUUCAUGGCACUGGUUAGGGAUUUUGAAUGUGGUACAUUAG